rnacentral:rRNA from 1 species
CCUGGCUCAGGACGAACGCUGGCGGCGCGCCUAACACAUGCAAGUCGAACGAGAGAUGAGGAGCUUGCUCUUCAAAUCGAGUGGCGAACGGGUGAGUAACGCGUGAGGAACCUGCCUCAAAGAGGGGGACAACAGUUGGAAACGACUGCUAAUACCGCAUAAGCCCACGGCUCGGCAUCGAGCAGAGGGAAAAGGAGCAAUCCGCUUUGAGAUGGCCUCGCGUCCGAUUAGCUGGUUGGUGAGGUAACGGCCCACCAAGGCGACGAUCGGUAGCCGGACUGAGAGGUUGAACGGCCACAUUGGGACUGAGACACGGCCCAGACUCCUACGGGAGGCAGCAGUGGGGAAUAUUGCACAAUGGGGGAAACCCUGAUGCAGCGACGCCGCGUGGAGGAAGAAGGUCUUCGGAUUGUAAACUCCUGUUGUUGAGGAAGAUAAUGACGGUACUCAACAAGGAAGUGACGGCUAACUACGUGCCAGCAGCCGCGGUAAAACGUAGGUCACAAGCGUUGUCCGGAAUUACUGGGUGUAAAGGGAGCGCAGGCGGGAGAACAAGUUGGAAGUGAAAUCCAUGGGCUCAACCCAUGAACUGCUUUCAAAACUGUUUUUCUUGAGUAGUGCAGAGUAGGCGGAAUUCCCGGUGUAGCGGUGGAAUGCGUAGAUAUCGGGAGGAACACCAGUGGCGAAGGCGGCCUACUGGGCACCAACUGACGCUGAGGCUCGAAAGUGUGGGUAGCAAACAGGAUUAGAUACCCUGGUAGUCCACACCGUAAACGAUGAUUACUAGGUGUUGGAGGGUUGACCCCUUCAGUGCCGCAGUUAACACAAUAAGUAAUCCACCUGGGGAGUACGACCGCAAGGUUGAAACUCAAAGGAAUUGACGGGGGCCCGCACAAGCAGUGGAGUAUGUGGUUUAAUUCGACGCAACGCGAAGAACCUUACCAAGUCUUGACAUCCCUUGACGAACAUAGAAAUAUGUUUUCUCUUCGGAGCAAGGAGACAGGUGGUGCAUGGUUGUCGUCAGCUCGUGUCGUGAGAUGUUGGGUUAAGUCCCGCAACGAGCGCAACCCUUAUGGUCAGUUACUACGCAAGAGGACUCUGGCCAGACUGCCGUUGACAAAACGGAGGAAGGUGGGGAUGACGUCAAAUCAUCAUGCCCUUUAUGACUUGGGCUACACACGUACUACAAUGGCGUUAAACAAAGAGAAGCAAGACCGCGAGGUGGAGCAAAACUCAGAAACAACGUCCCAGUUCGGACUGCAGGCUGCAACUCGCCUGCACGAAGUCGGAAUUGCUAGUAAUCGUGGAUCAGCAUGCCACGGUGAAUACGUUCCCGGGCCUUGUACACACCGCCC